UAAUACAGAGGGUGCAAGCGUUGUUCGGAAUUACUGGGCGUAAAGCGCGUGUAGGCUGCAAUGUAAGUCGGAUGUGAAAGCCCUUGGCUCAACCAAGGAAGUGCAUCCGAUACUGCGUCGCUUGAGUGUCGGAGGGGUCGGCGGAAUUCCCGGUGUAGAGGUGAAAUUCGUAGAUAUCGGGAGGAACACCUGUGGCGAAGGCGGCCGACUGGACGAUAACUGACGCUGAGACGCGAAAGCGUGGGUAGCAAACAGGAUUAGAUACCCUGGUAGUCCACGCUGUAAACGAUGAGUGCUAGGCGUCGUGGGUAUUGACCCCUGCGGUGCCGAAGUUAACACGUUAAGCACUCCGCCUGGGGAGUACGGUCGCAAGAUUA
rnacentral:rRNA from 1 species